UAACGCGUGGAUAACCUGCCUCACACAGGGGGAUAACAGUUAGAAAUGACUGCUAAUACCGCAUAAGCGCACGGCAUCGCAUGAUGCAGUGUGAAAAACUCCGGUGGUGUGAGAUGGAUCCGCGUCUGAUUAGGUAGUUGGUGGGGUAACGGCCUACCAAGCCGACGAUCAGUAGCCGACCCGAGAGGGUGACCGGCCACAUUGGGACUGAGACACGGCCCAA
rnacentral:rRNA from 1 species